GCAAUAUGUGUUGAAAUAAAAUAAUUAAUAAAAUAGUAGGAAUAAAAAGUUUUUAAUAAAAAUAAUUUUAAUCUCGAAUUAUAAAGUAAAUUUUAUUGAAUAAUUGGAAAUAUUUGAUUUAGAAAAGUACUGUGAAGGAAAUUUUAAAUAAAUUUGAUAUUAUUUGGAAGAAAAUUGUUGUACCUUUUGUAUCAGGGUUGAUUAAAUAAAUGGUAAGGAUUUAUUUUUCUCGAAUAAAUAAGAGUUAUUAUUAUAUUGAUUUUAAUAUGUCAUAAUUAUUUUUAAUAUAAUAAUGGUAGUGAAAUGUUAAUCGAUUUUUUAGAUAUCUAGUUUCUUAAGAUAUAAAUUGAAUUUAAAUUUAAGUAUUUUAAUUUUAUAAUUUUGAUUUUAUUUAUAUAUUUAAAUUUAAAUUUUUAAGGAUAAGCUUGAAAAUAUUUUAUAUUUAAUUUAUAAAUUUAUGUUGUAGGCUUGGGAUUAGCUUUUAUUUUAAAUAUGUUAUAAUUUUUUAUUAGAAAUUUUUUAGUUAAUUAAAUUGAUUAUUAAGAAAAGGAAAUUAAUUAAUAUUUUUAGAUAUAAUGAUUAAAUUAGUAAUUUGAAUUUUUAUUAAGUGUAUUUAUAUUAUAAAUUAAAUUGAGGAAUUAGGCAAAAUUUUUAUUCGCCUGUUUAUCAAAAACAUGUUUUUGUGAAUUUAUAUAAAGUCGGACCUGCUCACUGAUUUGAAUUAAAGAGCCGCGGUAUUUUGACCGUGCAAAGGUAGCAUAAUCAAUAGUCUUUUAAUUGAAGGCUGGAAUGAAUGGUUUGACGAAAUAUUAACUGUCUUAAUUUAAGUUGAUGAAUUUUAGUUUUAAGUUAAAACGCUUAAAUUAAUAAAAGGGACGAUAAGACCCUAUAGAUUUUAAUAUAUUAAAUUUAAAUUUUUAUAUUUAAUUUUAAUAUAUUUGAUUGGGGUGGUAGAAGAAAAAAAUAACUUCUUUUAAAGUUAACAAAAAUAAUUGAAUUAUUGAUCCUUAUAUUAUGGAUUAUAAGAUUAAAAUACCUUAGGGAUAACAGCGUAAUUUUAUUUGAGAGUUCAUAUUGAUAAUAAAGAUUGCGACCUCGAUGUUGGAUUAAGAUUAUUUUUUGGUGCAGUAGCUAAAAAAAUAAGUCUGUUCGACUUUUAAAAUCUUACAUGAUCUGAGUUCAAACCGGUGUGAGCCAGGUUGGUUUCUAUCUUUUUGAAGAUUUUAUGUUUUAGUACGAAAGGACCAGAUAUAAUAAAUAAUUUAAUUUAAAUUGAAUUAACAUU
rnacentral:rRNA from 1 species